UAUACAUGCAGUCGAGCGACAGAUAAGGAGCUUGCUCCUUUGACGUUAGCGGCGGACGGGUGAGUAACACGUGGGUAACCUACCUAUAAGACUGGAAUAACUCCGGGAAACCGGGGCUAAUGCCGGAUAACAUUUAGAACCGCAUGGUUCUAAAGUGAAAGAUGGUUUUGCUAUCACUUAUAGAUGGACCCGCGCCGUAUUAGCUAGUUGGUAAGGUAACGGCUUACCAAGGCAACGAUACGUAGCCGACCUGAGAGGGUGAUCGGCCACACUGGAACUGAGACACGGUCCAGACUCCUACGGGAGGCAGCAGUAGGGAAUCUUCCGCAAUGGGCGAAAGCCUGACGGAGCAACGCCGCGUGAGUGAUGAAGGGUUUCGGCUCGUAAAACUCUGUUAUUAGGGAAGAACAAACGUGUAAGUAACUGUGCACGUCUUGACGGUACCUAAUCAGAAAGCCACGGCUAACUACGUGCCAGCAGCCGCGGUAAUACGUAGGUGGCAAGCGUUAUCCGGAAUUAUUGGGCGUAAAGCGCGCGUAGGCGGUUUCUUAAGUCUGAUGUGAAAGCCCACGGCUCAACCGUGGAGGGUCAUUGGAAACUGGGAGACUUGAGUGCAGAAGAGGAAAGUGGAAUUCCAUGUGUAGCGGUGAAAUGCGCAGAGAUAUGGAGGAACACCAGUGGCGAAGGCGACUUUCUGGUCUGUAACUGACGCUGAUGUGCGAAAGCGUGGGGAUCAAACAGGAUUAGAUACCCUGGUAGUCCACGCCGUAAACGAUGAGUGCUA
rnacentral:rRNA from 1 species